AAGUGCUUGGUGCUAGGAGCUUCGUAAAGGCAGCAGAAGUUGUGGGAGGAGGGAGGUGGAGGGAGGGCAGUGUCCAGAUCCUGAUCUUUUGUCUGAGGCAUUUUGCAGAUCAUGUCAUUCUAUCUUAGGGAAACCACAUUGUCAGCUGUUGAGUAUUCUUGUGCGCUCACUACUAAUAUGAUUUGCAUUUCCCCCUCAGUCUCCUUAUCUCCUGACGAUCUCCUUACAAAUCCUGACGACAAAUAGAUUCCUAGCAAACCAGGGACUUACUGACUGAAUGAUAAAGCACAACACGGAGGAAAUGAGUGUGGUGUGUUGCUCCACUACUGACUGUGACUGUGCUGCCAGACGUCCUGCUCUUCUUAUGUGAGAUCUGAGUUUUCGCUGGCAACGUUUGCGUCUUAUUCAGAGGAGCUUGUCACCGCCCAGCAGCAUGCAGAGGCGGCACCAUGACGCCACGGCAACUCGUUCAUCCUGAUAUUGAUUGUGCGUAGAAUUGUUUUAAUGCUGCAACGACGAAAAUAUAAAAUGAGGUUGGCGCAGCUUGUGGCUCGGAUCGUUCCUACACCCUCAGUUCCACGGCUCCCCGCUAAGUGAAGCACACCUCUCCUUCUCCCUCACCCCUUGGUGACGGCUUAGGCGAGGACGAGUGAAGGUGUGCGCCGCACCGAGACCCGGCACGCUGAGGUGACAUAUACGGUCAGCGACAUGCAGCCAGCAGAGCACGUCCAUGAUCACUGCACGCCGCCCUGCAGAACUUCAGUAGCGAGGAACAAACAGACGGCACCCCGCCCAGCCCGGUAGAUGAGAAUGUCUUAAUUGUUAAAUAACUGCAUUAGUAAACUUGCUGGGAAGGCCUUAGGGUUUCCAGUCUUGCCCUACCUAAGGUUCUAAUUUCUGUUAUCGAUACGCCCAAACAGCGGCGCGAAAGACGACUAAGGAAUCAGAUUUGUUGGUGAUUAAGGACUCGGAAGAAAGGGAGGUCCGUGAAAUCGUCCCUGAGGAAUGAAGAACUGAGACAGUAAGGCUUGUGUGCGUACGUUGUCCUGACCUGAAUGAGCAACACCGUGCAGUGCUUGAACCCUGCACUGUGCACUGAAGUACGAUUUUGGCGGAUCAUUUUUCGACUGUUAGGUGGUGAUGAGUGACAGAACAAAAAGUAUAUAAACAAGUUGAUCAAUGAAUAAUAAAACAAACAAUAAAAUGAAAUAAUACAAAAAUAAUAAUCAAACGAAUAAAGUAAAGGCGCA